rnacentral:rRNA from 1 species
GAAGGCCUUCGGGUUGUAAAGCACUUUAAGCAGGGAGAAAAAGCUAUAAGUUAAUACCUUAUAGCCGUGAUGUUACCUGCAGAAUAAGCACCGGCUAAUUCCGUGCCAGCAGCCGCGGUAAUACGGAAGGUGCAAGCGUUAAUCGGAAUUACUGGGCGUAAAGCGCGCGUAGGCGGUUUAACAAGUUGUAUGUGAAAGCCCUGGGCUCAACCUAGGAACUGCAUCCAAAACUAUUAAGCUAGAGUACGAGAGAGGAGAGUAGAAUUUCUGGUGUAGCGGUGAAAUGCGUAGAUAUCAGAAGGAAUACCAAUGGCGAAGGCAGCUCUCUGGCUCGUCACUGACGCUGAGGUGCGAAAGCGUGGGUAGCAAACAGGAUUAGAUACCCUGGUAGUCCACGCCGUAAACGAUGACAACUAGCCGUUGGGCAGAUAUAACUGUUCAGUGGCACAGCUAACGCAU